rnacentral:rRNA from 1 species
UACGGAGGGUGCGAGCGUUGUUCGGAAUCACUGGGCGUAAAGGGCGUGUAGGCGGUCCGCUAAGUCUGAUGUGAAAGCCCGGGGCUCACCCCCGGAAGGGCAUUGGAAACUGGCGAACUCGAGUCCCGGAGAGGAAGGUGGAAUUCCUGGUGUAGCGGUGAAAUGCGUAGAUAUCAGGAGGAACACCGGUGGCGAAGGCGGGGUCUCUGGGCCGAUACUGACGCUGGAGGAGCGAAAGCGUGGGGAGCGAACAGG